GUAGUAGAGAUUAUAGUUGGGUAUUAUACCCCUAAUUAGCGAAGCUCUGCCUCGUUGUAAGUAUCAUAACCCCUGGAUACAUAUUAGAUACGCUGUCCGAUUGAUCUAGGGUGAACAGCUGUCGUGGUUCUGCCCGACGUAGUCGUUGGAAUGUCGUCUCGGGGAGGGUAUUACUAAUGUUAAAAUGGGUUAUUAUACUAACGCGUGUGCAUUGUUUAUUACUUAGAUUAUAACCAGGGAAUCACAAAGGAAAGCCCUAUAAUAGCAAUUUCUUCAAUUACUGCCGGUAUGUUGGGGUUUUGUAUACAAAAUUUGUACUACUUGCGAGUAGUAAGUCGGGAUGACAAUACGUUACCAUUGGACAAUGAGUUAGCCAAUGGGUAAUAUGACCCACAAGUCAGGAUUGAUAGUACCAAAUGGAGUAAUUGUGUAACUUAGUAUGAAGCUAAUAAAAGCCAGCUGGAGAGCACUGAAGGCUUGGAAAAGUGACAAUAAAGUUACCUAA
rnacentral:lncRNA from 1 species